UGGGGAAUUUUGCACAAUGGGGGAAACCCUGAUGCAGCGACGCCGCGUGAUUUAGAAGGCCUUCGGGUUGUAAAAGUCUUUUCUAUGGGAAGAAAAUGACAGUACCAUAGGAGUAAGGACCGGCUAAUUACGUGCCAGCAGCCGCGGUAAUACGUAAGGUCCGAGCGUUGUCCGGAAUCAUUGGGCGUAAAGGGUACGUAGGCGGGUAAGCAAGUUAGAAGUGAAAUCCUAUAGCUCAACUAUAGUAAGCUUUUAAAACUGCUCAUCUUGAGGUAUGGAAGGGAAAGUGGAAUUCCUAGUGUAGCGGUGAAAUGCGCAGAUAUUAGGAGGAAUACCGGUGGCGAAGGCGACUUUCUGGCCAUAACCUGACGCUGAGGUACGAAAGCGUGGGUAGCAAACAGG
rnacentral:rRNA from 1 species